rnacentral:ncRNA from 1 species
GUGGGUGUCGUUACCGUCACGCCUACGACCGUUUCUGUUAUCAAUGAACUGCCGGGCCGCCUCGAAGGCGUGCGCACCGCCGAAGUACGGGCGCGGGUUUCCGGCAUCGUGCUGUCCCGCAACUACACGGAAGGCGGCGAGGUCAAGGCAGGCCAGUUGCUGUUCAAGAUCGA